UACGUAGGGGGCAAGCGUUGUCCGGAUUUAUUGGGCGUAAAGAGCGUGUAGGCGGCCAGGUAGGUGGGUUGUGAAAACUGGAGGCUCAACCUUCAGACGUCGACCCAAACCCCCUGGCUAGAGUCCGGAAGAGGAGAGUGGAAUCCUGGUGGUAGCGGUGAAAUGCGCGAGUAUCAGGAAGACACCCGUGGCGAAGGCGGCUCCUCUGGGAACGGUACUGACGCUG
rnacentral:rRNA from 1 species